rnacentral:rRNA from 1 species
AUACGGAGGAUCCGAGCGUUAUCCGGAUUUAUUGGGUUUAAAGGGAGCGUAGGCGGACGCUUAAGUCAGUUGUGAAAGUUUGCGGCUCAACCGUAAAAUUGCAGUUGAUACUGGGUGUCUUGAGUACAGUAGAGGCAGGCGGAAUUCGGGGUGUAGCGGUGAAAUGCUUAGAUAUCACGAAGAACUCCGAUUGCGAAGGCAGCUUGCGGAACUGUAACUUACGCUGAUGCUCGAAAGUGUGGGUAUCAAACAGGAUUAGAUUCCCUGGUAGUCCACACUGUAAGCGAUGAAUACGCGCUGUUUGCGAUAUACAGUAAGCGGCCAAGCGAAAGCGUUAAGUAUUCCACCUGGGGAGUACGCCGGCAACGGUGAAACUCAAAUGAAUUGACGGGG